ACGGGAGGCAGCAGUGGGGAAUAUUGGGCAAUGGGCGAAAGCCUGACCCAGCAAUGCCGCGUGAAGGAAGAAGGUCUUCGGAUUGUAAACUUCUUUUAUGAGGGACGAAGGAUUUGACGGUACCUCAUGAAUGAGCCACGGCUAACUACGUGCCAGCAGCCGCGGUAAUACGUAGGUGGCAAGCGUUAUCCGGAUUUACUGGGUGUAAAGGGCGCGUAGGCGGGGAAACAAGUCAGAUGUGAAAUCCGUGGGCUCAACUCAUGAACUGCAUUUGAAACUGUUUCUCUUGAGUGCUGGAGAGGUAGAUGGAAUUCCUAGUGUAGCGGUGAAAUGCGUAGAUAUUAGGAAGAACACCAGUGGCGAAGGCGAUCUACUGGACAGUAACUGACGCUGAGGCGCGAAAGCGUGGGGAGCAAACAGGAUUAGAUACCCUGGUA
rnacentral:rRNA from 1 species